GAUGAACGCUGGCGGCGUGCCUAAUACAUGCAAGUCGAGCGAACAGACGAGGAGCUUGCUCCUCUGACGUUAGCGGCGGACGGGUGAGUAACACGUGGAUAACCUACCUAUAAGACUGGGAUAACUUCGGGAAACCGGAGCUAAUACCGGAUAACAUAUUGAACCGCAUGGUUCAACAGUGAAAGACGGUCUUGCUGUCGCUUAUAGAUGGAUCCGCGCCGCAUUAGCUAGUUGGUAAGGUAACGGCUUACCAAGGCAACGAUGCGUAGCCGACCUGAGAGGGUGAUCGGCCACACUGGAACUGAGACACGGUCCAGACUCCUACGGGAGGCAGCAGUAGGGAAUCUUCCGCAAUGGGCGAAAGCCUGACGGAGCAACGCCGCGUGAGUGAAGAAGGUCUUCGGAUCGUAAAACUCUGUUAUUAGGGAAGAACAAAUGUGUAAGUAACUAUGCACGUCUUGACGGUACCUAAUCAGAAAGCCACGGCUAACUACGUG
rnacentral:rRNA from 1 species